GUGAACGCUGGCGGUAGGCCUAACACAUGCAAGUCGAACGGUAGCACAGAGGAGCUUGCUCCUUGGGUGACGAGUGGCGGACGGGUGAGGAAUGCAUCGGAAUCUACUCUUUCGUGGGGGAUAACGUAGGGAAACUUACGCUAAUACCGCAUACGACCUACGGGUGAAAGCAGGGGACCUUUUAGGCCUUGCGCGAUUGAAUGAGCCGAUGUCCGAUUAGCUAGUUGGCGGGGUAAUGGCCCACCAAGGCGACGAUCGGUAGCUGGUCUGAGAGGAUGAUCAGCCACACUGGAACUGAGACACGGUCCAGACUCCUACGGGAGGCAGCAGUGGGGAAUAUUGGACAAUGGGCGCAAGCCUGAUCCAGCCAUACCGCGUGGGUGAAGAAGGCCUUCGGGUUGUAAAGCCCUUUUGUUGGGAAAGAAAAGCAGCCGGCUAAUACCCGGUUGUUCUGACGGUACCCAAAGAAUAAGCACCGGCUAACUUCGUGCCAGCAGCCGCGGUAAUACGAAGGGUGCAAGCGUUACUCGGAAUUACUGGGCGUAAAGCGUGCGUAGGUGGUUGUUUAAGUCUGUCGUGAAAGCCCUGGGCUCAACCUGGGAACUGCGAUGGAAACUGGGCGACUAGAGUGUGGUAGAGGGUAGCGGAAUUCCUGGUGUAGCAGUGAAAUGCGUAGAUAUCAGGAGGAACAUCCAUGGCGAAGGCAGCUACCUGGGCCAACACUGACACUGAGGCACGAAGCGUGGGGAGCAAACAGGAUUANAUACCUGGUAGUCCCGCCCUAACGAUGCGAACUGGAUGUGGGUGCNCUUNGCACNCANUAUCNAACUAACNCGUUAAUUCCCCCCUGGGANUACGGUCNCANACUGAACUCAAGGAUUGACGGGGNCCCCCNANCGGGGAAUUGUGNUUAUUCAUGCACCNAAAACUNNCUGCCUNANUGCNNAANUUCNAANGGAUGGNCUCGANNNANNAGGNCUCAGNUNCNCNCCGNCGGAANUGGUAUCCCAANNCACNUNCUNUUC
rnacentral:rRNA from 1 species